rnacentral:sRNA from 1 species
UCAUGGGAAUAUGCAGAUGCAUGAUUUCAAGCCUACCGAUCAAACGAAGACUGAGACGAAAGGAACAUCUAACAAAAAACCUGGGAGUUCCGGGGAGAAACAUAGGAAGGGAAGACGUAAAACAUCAACAGGAAACAACUCACCUACAGAAUCUCCAUCAAGGGUAGGAGGAUCAGUAAGGCCAUCAAAACGCAACACGGGGAAACAAAGAGAGCAGAACACGGGUUCAGGGUCAGAGUCAGGUUCAGGAUUAGAGUUACCUCAACAGACUGAUCAGUUUGUUGUACCAAAACAAUCAAAGCAAAAAAAGUCAAAAGGAUCAGCAACAGGAGGAGGCGAACCUCCUCCAUCUAAUGAACCAUCAAACAAGAAAGAAACAGAUAUAUCUGUGAGAGCGGUUUACCCUUGUGCGGGUCUUGGAAGUUCUACAGGAAGAUGAAAGAUGAGGAACAAAGAAAGAGAGUGUUAUAU